UGGCAGGAUGGCCUAGUCCAUCUCCACAGCUGUAGUAGAUAAAGUGUGCGCAGCUGGGAUCAUCAUCUUGAUGCACCUGGUUCACUGGGCGGUGCUACACUGCAUUAUAUCAAGGAGGGCUGCAUGUUGUCUACACACGUCCUCUACCUGAAGCUGAAGUGUUUUCAGCAGUGCUGGUUGCCGUGGCGGUCUCGAGGCGCUGGCGGAGUAUUUUUGUCUACCUACCUGUCAGACGUCGGCCCAUAUCCUGGCCGAAAGUUGGGAGCCGGGUGUGUGUGGCUUCGGAGCUGGGCAUAACCGAGGCAUCGCCUUGAAUUUGUGAGAGAGCCGUAGCACAAGACCCGUCCACUGAUGAAGGAUCUGAGUUUUCUUUCCAUCAUCUUCAAAACAGAGUGAACCUCUCGGGGCCAAAAUACAAGCCUGUAGUCGACAGCAUGCAGUGUCAAACAUCUCAUUAAAGCAGUGAUCCGUCUCCAUCUGGUGGCAGAAAUUAAAACUCCAAUUCUCGUCUUCUUAGAUUGAACCUCUUCAUCUUGGCUAAAUCCAGAGACUGACUUCCUGCAGACACACCUGCUGGGUUGGAUUACAGUGAUAAAAUCAGUUUCAGAGUCAAAGACUUACAGCAGAGUUUGUCAUUUAAAGGAAAGUCUUGAUGGAUCACACUGGAGGAGGAGAAGGAGGAGGAUGAAGAGGAGGAGGAAGAGGAAAAGGAGGACCUCGUUCACAGUGACGACCACGCCUGAAUCCUGCUGUUCAUGAAUUUUGUUAUUUUGCAAUAAAGCAUACUGUUCAAAAUCCUGUUUUUAUUUUCUUUGUUACUGAUGGAAUAUGAACUGAACUAUCUUUUAUUUGUAGGAAGUAAAGAAGAGCAAAUGAAA